rnacentral:rRNA from 1 species
GAUGAACGCUGGCGGCGUGCCUAAUACAUGCAAGUCGAGCGAACAGACGAGGAGCUUGCUCCUCUGACGUUAGCGGCGGACGGGUGAGUAACACGUGGAUAAUCUACCUAUAAGACUGGGAUAACUUCGGGAAACCGGAGCUAAUACCGGAUAAUAUAUUGAACCGCAUGGUUCAAUAGUGAAAGACGGUUUUGCUGUCACUAUAGAUGGAUCCGCGCCUCAUUAGCUAGUUGGUAAGGUAACGGCUUACCAAGGCAACGAUGCGUAGCCGACCUGAGAGGGUGAUCGGCCACACUGGAACUGAGACACGGUCCAGACUCCUACGGGAGGCAGCAGUAGGGAAUCUUCCGCAAUGGGCGAAAGCCUGACGGAGCAACGCCGCGUGAGUGAUGAAGGUCUUCGGAUCGUAAAACUCUGUUAUUAGGGAAGAACAAAUGUGUAAGUAACUAUGCACGUCUUGACGGUACCUAAUCAGAAAGCCACGGCUAACUACGUG